GGAUGUGAGGGUGAUUUGACUGUAACAUCUGCCACCCCACUGAUCACCAAGGUAGAUUCAGCUGAUCUGACUGGCUAGGCGGGUGCCACCUAUCCCUCCCAAACCUGCAUGCUCAGUGGAACAGGCCGAUCAUCCCAGAUAGAAGGAGUGUACCGUUCUUCAGUCAAGAUAGCUGCACUCCCGAUAGAACCUUCAAACAAGCUCAAGGUCCAUAAUUAGGUUCAAGUUGUGAAUCAGAAUACACCAUGAUGGGAGUGCCCAAGGUGGUCCACAAGCUUCAU